AAUGAACGUUGGCGGCGUGGAUUAGGCAUGCAAGUCGAGCGAUAACCGUAGCAAUACGGGGACAGCGGCGAAAGGGAGAGUAACGCGUGGAUAAUCUACCCUCGGGACUGGGAUAGCCGCGGGAAACUGCGGGUAAUACCGGAUAAUGUCUUCGGACCAAAGGUGCGAUUCCGCCCGGGGAUGAGUCCGCGUCCUAUUAGCUAGUUGGUGGGGUAAUGGCCUACCAAGGCGAAGAUGGGUACGGGGUGUGAGAGCAUGCCCCCGCUCACUGGGACUGAGACACUGCCCAGACACCUACGGGUGGCUGCAGUCGAGAAUCUUCGGCAAUGGGCGCAAGCCUGACCGAGCGACGCCGCGUGCGGGAUGAAGGCCUUCGGGUUGUAAACCGCUGUCGGAGGGGAGGAAAUGCACGGGGGUUCUCCCUCGUGUUUGACCUAGCCUCAGAGGAAGGACGGGCUAAGUUCGUGCCAGCCGCCGCGGUAA
rnacentral:rRNA from 1 species